rnacentral:rRNA from 1 species
CAGCAGCCGCGGUAAUACGAAGGGUGCAAGCGUUAAUCGGAAUUACUGGGCGUAAAGCGUGCGUAGGCGGUUUGUUAAGUCUGCUGUGAAAUCCCCGGGCUCAACCUGGGAAUGGCAGUGGAUACUGGCAAGCUAGAGUGUGUCAGAGGAUGGUGGAAUUCCCGGUGUAGCGGUGAAAUGCGUAGAGAUCGGGAGGAGCAUCAGUGGCGAAGGCGGCCAUCUGGGACAACACUGACGCUGAGGCACGAAAGCGUGGGGAGCAAACAGGAUUAGAUACCCCCGUAGUCCCUGUCUCUUAUAC